CCUACGGGAGGCAGCAGUGGGGAAUAUUGCACAAUGGGCGAAAGCCUGAUGCAGCAACGCCGCGUGAGCGAUGAAGGCCUUCGGGUCGUAAAGCUCUGUCCUCAAGGAAGAUAAUGACGGUACUUGAGGAGGAAGCCCCGGCUAACUACGUGCCAGCAGCCGCGGUAAUACGUAGGGGGCUAGCGUUAUCCGGAUUUACUGGGGGUAAAGGGUGCGUAGGUGGUUUCUUAAGUCAGAGGUGAAAGGCUAGGGCUCAACCGUAGUAAGGCGUUGAAACUGGGGAACUUGAGUGCAGGAGAGGAGAGUGGAAUUCCUAGUGUAGCGGUGAAAUGCGUAGAUAUUAGGAGGAACACCAGUUGCGAAGGCGGCUCUCUGGACUGUAACUGACGCUGAGGCACGAAAGCGUGGGGAGCAAACAGGAUUAGAUACCCGGGUAGUC
rnacentral:rRNA from 1 species